rnacentral:rRNA from 1 species
CGGUGAAUACGUUCCCGGGCCUUGUACACACCGCCCGUCAAGCCAUGGAAGCUGGGGGUGCCUGAAGUGCGUAACCGCAAGGAGCGUCCUAGGUAAAACCGGUAACUGGGGCU